rnacentral:lncRNA from 1 species
GUUCUUAUGCAAACCUUCAAACAACAAAGAAUCCAUCCAGACAAACACAUCUACACAAAUAAAUUUCAGCAAACAAGCGACAAAACAACGAGGCAGUGAUUGAAUGUAAAGUGCAGACAAAACCAAACUUCGACCCUUAUCCCCAAUCAACACCCUUCGACCCCGAUUUCACGGUUUCCCUAGAAUCACGAUAACAGGAGGGAAAGAGGCGCGAUUCGACAUUAUUUAAGCAAGUUUAGAUGAUACCAAGAUGACUUACAGGUAGUUAAUCUUUUCGAGUCUUUUCGAUAUGCUUUUCCUUUCUCUUCCUUUCGCCUUCGUCGCCACUGUUAUCGUCGUGGUAAUGGUUUUUUUGGCAAUUCGUGGCUUAGCUAAAGUUUGUUGAGUUUCAGUGUGAAAACUUUUUAGGGCUUUCAGGAAAUAUUGCUCUGUUCUCGUGUUUUUCUUUAGGGGUUUAAAAAAAAUUCCUCUGUCCUUUGUUGUUGUGUUCUUAUGCCUGUUUAUGAAGAAUUUUCAAGUCUUAAAAAAAACUCCUUCCUUUUUUCGAUUUUCUCAUCCCAGAUUAUGUGGGAUUUGAUUUGUUCUUAUUUAAGCCAUUGUUGCAAUGCCUUUUCAGAUGUUCCAAUUAAUCCUCUGGAUUAAGCUUGAACUUAGUAAUUUAGUUAGUUGUUUUUUAGUUUUUUAAGUGCUUUUAAAAAGUGCUUUCUAAAUAAGUUGUUUUUCUCUGCAGGUUAUAGCUCUGAGAUGACCUGAUGGAAUGGAAGGCGGUUGCUCCAAGCUUCAAGACAUCCUGUUUUCGUGACUAAGUCCAAAGUGAUUUCAUCCUAAUUGCUUGGUUUUGGUCAUUAGGAACCUAUUUCCAUCUGUAGCAAUUUUUUCACUGUAAUUACUUAGUUUAGUUUUUUUUUAGACAAAAUGUGUGUUUGGAUUAUUUG